GCCAGCAGCCGCGGUAAUACGGAGGGUGCAAGCGUUAAUCGGAAUUACUGGGCGUAAAGCGCACGCAGGCGGUUUGUUAAGUCAGAUGUGAAAUCCCCGGGCUCAACCUGGGAACUGCAUCUGAUACUGGCAAGCUUGAGUCUCGUAGAGGGGGGUAGAAUUCCAGGUGUAGCGGUGAAAUGCGUAGAGAUCUGGAGGAAUACCGGUGGCGAAGGCGGCCCCCUGGACGAAGACUGACGCUCAGGUGCGAAAGCGUGGGGAGCAAAUAGGAUUAGAUACCCUGGUAGUCCACGCUGUAAACGAUGUCGACUUGGAGGUUGUGCCC
rnacentral:rRNA from 1 species